rnacentral:misc_RNA from 1 species
GUAAUUUCGAAGUUAAAACUCGAAAUUACCAUUUUUUUUUAAUAUAUAUUAGAGUUUGCAUUAACAUAGCCCAAAGGGCAAAUUUGCACAAAGAGAGUUUGGAAAAAUACAUAACAGGGGGCCCAAGCAAAUCACAAACUAGACAACCCAAAUACAAGAUAUCUUAGGCCAAUUUCAAUCAAGAGACCCUAAUCUGAGCACAAAGAGCCAGGAGCCACUUUGUAAAAAAAACAUCAAGCACAAAAAAGGCCAUCACCGGACCUUCAUUUCCACAGGUUAGAACUGCUAGCCAUACAGGGAGGGUGACAUCACAACACUCACUAGCUUUUCAAUCUCCUAGAGCUUGCGGAUCAAUCUUCAAACAGAGAGAAAGAGGCAUAUUCCCUAAAGUAGUGGACGUCCAUGAAUGCUUAAAGCCCUCCAUUCAAGUCAGGUGACAGCUCCUAGAAUCAAAGACUCAAUACACGAACACAAAGCUAACCACCUAGCUCUCUAGAAAGCCAGAUCUGCUACAAGACACCUUCUCUUUGAAGCUCCAAAGAUCGGCAACUAUACCUAAAAGAACUACAACCUCAAGUCAGGUGGGGAGGAAGACCCAUAAACCAACCGGUGAAAAAAACAACCACAUUCCCUUGCCCCAAGGCAGAAGAGGCCUAAUCAAGAAAAUACAAAGCUGUCUUGUUUUUUUCUCCAUUGCAGUGACUUUAUGGGUGAUUUGGAAAGAAGGAACCGAGCAAUCUUUGACCAUUGUCUUUCAGACCCUCUAGCAAACUCUUAUCGUAUUAGCAGAUCGUUGGCUGAAUUGCGUCAUUUGAAGGAUAUAUCAGCAGUGCCUCACUCUUCAUCAGCCAUUUCUCAGAGAUUGCAUAGAUGGCAACCUACCUCUUCUAGUUUUGUUAAGAUUAACUGUGAUAUGGCCUGGAGAUAUUGCAGUGAUUGUUAGAAAUCACCAAGGCUGCCUUGUUGAUGAAACAGUAAGGAAGGUUUUCUGUUCUUCUCCUUUAGCAGGGGAGGCUCGUGCAGUAUUAGAAACUAUUCGUCUUGCUAUUGCUAGGGGAGAUAAAUCGGCGAUCCUUGAAACAGAUUCCUCAGUCCUCCAUGCUGCUCUGGUUGAUUCUAUAAGAUAGUUCCUUGGGAUAUUAAAACUUUGACCAUUUCUAUCCUAUCUUUGAUCCCUGCCUAUGAUUUUGUUUACUUCUCUUCGAUCAAUAGGAGAGCUAAUUCUGUAGCUGAUUGUGUGGCUAAGCUCAGUGCUAGAAAUAGUCUUCCUCCCAACUGGUUAGCUAUUGCGCCGGAAGAGGUGGUUGAUUGUUUGUAAUCUGAUGCCUUAGCAGCAGCCUCUUUAUGGC